CCUCGUGAUUGCUGCAGCCUGGGCUGACCUUCCUCGCUCCGUUACUGCCCUCUCGCUUUAAAUCAGCGCGUCCCCAAAGUGCCUGAUUAUAAGAAUCGUCUGCUAGGCUGAUUGAAAGUAUAGAUUAACAGAGGCAGAAAUGGAGGCACAGAAAGUUUGUUACCCUGAUCACGUAGCUAGAGGUGGAAGAGGAGGGUUUGAACAAAGGUUUCCUGAAUCCAAAUCUUGGCAAUGUUUAACCUAAGGUGUACUACAUUCUGAGAGCUAGCUGGCAUCAAAGCCCUCUAAAACACUUUAUUGAGGAAGGGUGAAAAAUUGCUGAAUCGAUCUUCUUCAAUUAGCACGGGAUCUGAAUCAAAGAAAUUUGGAAGAAGGGAACUUUCUCAUCCGAGUGGCUGCCAGCACCCCCGCCCCAGCUGAAGUGCUCCCUUGUUCUCGCCUGCUCUGCCCCAGAUUCAUGGGCCACUCUCCAAAUCGCUGGCAAUUUUCUCUGCACUGUCCUGACAACCUCCGGCCAUGAAAAUUAAAAAACUAGUUACCGAAUCUCGCUCCUAACGGCUUUGUCCUUGUCAGCGAUUCGACAGAGAAAUCUGGAAGAGGGAGCCUCCUUACGCCUGCAGUGGGCUGAAAUGCCACCAGAAUGACAAUGGGCUUUGCUGUGGGAGGAGGGGAGAAUGUGCAGUGUGCCAGGAGUGAAUGAAUGAAUGAAAGGGAGAGAGAGAGAGAGAGCGAGCGCGAGUGCACGAACUUUGGGCUUCAAAUUAAAAAAUUCCAGUGUCUCAGCAGAGGUCCUGGUGUCUGUACUCCAAGACCUUCUGCCAAAUGCUGAGCAGGGCGCUUUUCCCCACGCCAUUGCCCUCUGGUCCUCCGCCAGGGUACAGAGCUCUGGGCUGGAGAGGGGGGCAGUCAGAAUUUGGUGAGGAAAUGGCUCCAAAGUGGGGAAAGCCCUGGGAGGCCGGCCCACCUAGUCAGCUUGCUGUCUGGCCAAGCUUCCUGCACCACCUCAAGGGUCUCCCCUGAUUUCAGACAUUAGUAUUCACUCCACAUACCAUCACCGCCCCCCCUCACCACCCCGCUAAAGGAAUUUUAAGAAAUCCUCAAAAACUGGAGGAAUUUUAAUUACCCUUAAUUAAGAGAAAACU